UCAUCAGCAAGUGAUUUAUCAAGUAAAAGGUGAAUUGGUACAAUUUCAAUACAUUCUGCGUUCAAUUCGAAGUAGGAAAUUGCUAUCUUAUCGUGAAAAGCGUCGAAGUCCUAGCCGAUAUGAUAAGGGCGUGAAUCAGAUGAUAGGUACAAAUAAUUGAUAAACAACAGAAUUGUCCAGUAAAGUAUCGAACACCUGUGCAAGAAACUGUACCAAUCGUUUACUUUUUUAUUUGUUUACUUUCAAGAACAAGAAAUACAAACAUCAACAUGUCUCACAACCCACCUUACGGACCACCACCUCCAUACUACACCGGCCAAGGGCACCCGCCACCUCCCCCUCCCGGAGGAUUCGCGUACGUUCCAGCACCAGUUAUGAUGCCGGUCUACCAGCCUCCGCCGCCACCACCACCACCAGAAGUCACCGCACCACCAACCUACGUCACCAAUUACAUCUACCAGCAACCGCCGCAACCACAGCCUGUUAUUGUCGAAGAAAUCACUAUACAACAACAACCAAGCAAUCCGUGGAGUAACGUAUUGUCGACUGCCGAAAAGGGAUUGGCGACAGUUGGCAAAGGGUUGGCCUUGCUUGAAACUGGUCUGCGCAAUAGGAAUUCUAAUAUCGAAUGGGUACCAGCUACAACAGGGGACGUUGGUUCUCUGUCCCACAAGGCUUUCGUAGCGGGCAGGGAAGCUUGGGACGGCAGUCCUCUGUGCGUGAUCAGGGCACACCACAGCGGAGAGUUCCUUCCUGGCAAGCUGGCCAUCAAACAUCGUGCGGCUUAUGUGCCUUAUGGAGGGAGAGAAGUUCCUGUUCAUAACUUUGAAGUUCUGUGUGUCCCGUCCCACGCAGUCCGUUGGCUACACAGCAGCAACGGUCAGGUUCCAGUGGGAGCCAUUGCAGCCGGCAACACCCACAGUGGUGAACCACUUUAUAUUGGACGUGUGCGCCACAUGCAGUCUUUGACACCUGGCAAAGUGCACCCCAGUCACGGAUGUUGCUACAUUUCAUUCGGUGGAUCUGAACAUACUCACAAGACUUACGAGGUGCUGUGCAGAAUUGUUGGUUAAUCUACUAAAGAACCAACUUACAAUGACUAUGAGAAUAUUACCCAAUAAAAUCUAAAUAAUACUUAAUAUGUAUUGAGAAGAUAUACAAAUACGGUCAUCGUUAAUUAUGAAAAAGCCACUUUAUCAUUUUCAGAACUUUAUUUUCUAAAUGCUGAUAUUAUCAAAUGCUUUGAUUUCGAUAAAUUUGAAAAUGACGUCAUACAAAACUAAUGAAAAAAAGUAUGUACCUAACUGAAAACCCAAAUUAAUAAU
rnacentral:misc_RNA from 1 species